GCCAGAAAGAUGCUACGUGCUGUUCUCUUUCAUGUUUACCUGCAUGUCUCACAUUUGUCUACAGGAGGAGACACAAAGAUACCUGAAGAAAAACAAUGUCUAUCGCAAUGAAUAAAGAUGACGGAGAUAAACAGCCAUAGCCCCGUGUCAUCUGAGAUGGAUGGGUAGUCUGACUGUAUUGAGAAGUAAAUAAGCAGAUGCUUCAGGAGAAACUGCACCUUGUGAACAUGAGCAGCCAAGCAUCAGAGCAGCUCUUCACAGACCCUCCUCCUCCUCCUCCUCCUCCUCCUCCCUGUUUUCUCAAGGUAAGGACAGUCACG